ACCAAUGGCGGGCCUUGGCAGAAGGGACACCUUAGGGUGUGCCGGUUUCCUCUGUGGCCGGUCGGCCAACCCCGAUGCCUUGUGCCGCCACCUCA
rnacentral:antisense_RNA from 1 species